GGAGAGAUGGCUGAGUGGUUGAUAGCCCCGGUCUUGAAAACCGGUAUA
rnacentral:tRNA from 3 species